rnacentral:tRNA from 1 species
GCCAGCAUGGUGUACUGGUUUGAGUGUUAGACUGCAACUCUGGAGACCAGGGUUCGGUUCCCAGCUCAGCCA